ensembl:lncRNA
UGCGGAGAAACUCUGACUCUGAUCACCUGACCCUGCUGUGCAAGAGAGUAUACUCUCUGCACUCGUGUGUGUGUGUGUGUGUGUGUGUGUGUGUGUGUGUGUGUGUGUGUGGUAGACCAACUGUGUGAAACUCUCUCAUUACUUGGUCUCCAUCAGGUGUUGGACUCAUCCAGGGAACCUUUAAUACCAGAUGGAGAUGCUGAAUAUUCCAGCGCAGUGAGGAAGUGCUGAUCGCUGGAUUUAGACACGUGUGUGAGUGCGUGAGUGCGUGUGUGAGUGUGUGAGUGCGUGAGUGUGUGAGUGCGUGAGUGUGUGAGUGCGUGAGUGUGUGUGCGUGAGUGCGUGAGUGCGUGAGUGUGUGUGUGUGAGUGCGUGAGUGAGUGUGUGUGUGAGUGAGUGUGUGUGUGUGUGUGCUGAGCACUUUAAGCCCUGUGAUUGGCUUUAUCAGGACCAAUACAGUCUUAUCGCUCUCUCUUUAAUAAACAACUUUAAUAUCUAUUUUCAAAAAGGCCUUAAUCACUGCCUCAGGCUCCGCCCACAACGCACGUCAACACGUGAUCAGAUUGUUUUACAGACAGUGUAAAGACACGGUGACCGUGGAAACGAACCUGAAACAUCCAAAACAUCAACAUUUCCCUCAAAAUGCGCUGGAAAAUUAGUAAGAAAGUUAUUUUUACUCAGAAAAAGUAACGGAUUACAGAUGAGUAAUUAGUGCUUUAAAACUGUAAUCUGAUGACGUUACUCAUUACUGCAUGUAGAAAUGAAUCAGGUUACUCGUUACCUUACCUUCACUUUACUUUCAUCACCAUCAAACCUACAGAAUACCCUACACAGUGGAACUCGGGUCUUUCAGGGAUUUUAGCGUCGGCGUCAGUCUGAUUUAUAAUAGAACCUUCCUCGGGUGUGUCGGUGUGUGUAGAACAAACAGAGCGAUAAAAUAUCAAACUUUUCUCACUAGGCUAGUCUGGGGUCGCUAGCCGAGGGGGGACACGGCUAAGCUAUCACUGUAUGGGUUUAUCUGCUACAGAGUCAUGUAGGGUUCAUUAUCCUUCCUCCUGCUCUGCUCACGUCAUGUUCACGUGAACUGGAACUCAUAUAGACGUUUACACGCCUCGUUCUCCUGCUCAGCAUCAGAGGAUGAUUCUGUUUCAGUCUCAACACCUUUACUGCUUUAAAUAAAUAAAUAAAUCGGCGUAUAUCCAUUUCCCCUCACGCUGACUGAGCUAGCGUUCGGUAGCAUUGAGAGACCGUCAGCCAAUAAGACACGAGUAUUUCCACGUAUUUCCCUGUGAACGCGUCUGAUUCUGACAGGGUGUUCCGUUUGAACGCACCUGCGUGUGUAGUUACAUUCUGUGGUGCGUUGAACACAAUCGGCGUGUUAGUGCGUCUGACACGUGCUGUGUGUUAAACACCACCACAGGUAACACAGACGUGUUCUUUCGGCUUUCCCCCCUACAAUUAUCCUGAAAUGCGGUUUGUUUGUGUGCUAAAAUUCUACUGAAAUACUCUCAAAAUAAACAAACAACAACAUGAAGUUCAGGUGACAUUAAUUAAAAUCACCAAAACGUUUGACCGAGGUAAGAAUCGGACUCGCGUCUCCCCACAGACUGAUCGGACAGUGAUUUAUGACGUUUAUUUGCUUUUCAUUUCGAACACGUCUACUGGAUAAUUGAACACAGCAGGUGUUGAAACAGUAAGAACACAGAAAGUGUGCAGGGUAUGAUUUUCUGAGCAGGAGUUUCUGAACCCAGCGUAUCUGACAUCAUGAGCAGGUUAUUAGUCUGAUUUCCCGCGCUCCACCUGCCCCACCGGUGAGCACACAGCACGCGAGGUGCCAGCGUCUCCAUGUGUAACCACCGCACGAUCACGUGUUGAUGCGAGGUGUAAACCCGGGCCUGUGGGUUUUUGUUUUUUUUUAAAAGAAAUAACGAUUUCAGUGUUUCUGUAUUCAAAGUCUUCAUUCGUGUGCUCUUUUCAUGCCUUAAAUUAAAGACGGAAUGUCUGCUGAUGCCAGUAAUACGUUUGCUGUGACGUUUAAUUUGCGAUAUAAUGAGGCUGUUUGACAGAUAAAUGCCAUAAAAGCACAGUACUGUCUGAAUUCUUACUUUUACUGUCUGAGCGGUUUUAUUUUCUGAUUUAUACUGACUCAACCCCACCGCUCAAGAGCUCAACGGAGGUUUGGACGACUAAACACCUUCGUGAAGCACAAAUUCAGACGACGCAUGUAAAGAGGGGUGUAAACUUUUGAACAUGU